rnacentral:rRNA from 1 species
UUGAACGCUGGCGGCAUGCUUUACACAUGCAAGUCGAGCGGCAGCACGGGGGCAACCCUGGUGGCGAGCGGCGAACGGGUGAGUAAUACAUCGGAACAUGCCCAGUCGUGGGGGAUAACACUUCGAAAGAAGUGCUAAUACCGCAUACGUCCUGAGGGAGAAAGCGGGGGAUCGCAAGACCUCGCGCGAUUGGAGUGGCCGAUGUCAGAUUAGCUAGUUGGUGGGGUAAAGGCCUACCAAGGCAACGAUCUGUAGCGGGGCUGAGAGGAUGAUCAGCCACACUGGGACUGAGACACGGCCCAGACUCCUACGGGAGGCAGCAGUGGGGAAUUUUGGACAAUGGGGGCAACCCUGAUCCAGCCAUUCCGCGUGAGUGAAGAAGGCCUUCGGGUUGUAAAGCUCUUUCAGCAGGAACGAAACGGCGAGUACUAAUACUGCUCGCUAAUGACGGUACCUGAAGAAGAAGCACCGGCUAACUACGU